AACAUGCUAUUUGUGUAAAAUGU
rnacentral:siRNA from 1 species